AUUGGACGCUGGCGGCAUGCUUUACACAUGCAAGUCGAACGGCAGCGCGGGCUUCGGCCUGGCGGCGAGUGGCGAACGGGUGAGUAAUGCAUCGGAACGUGCCCAGUAGUGGGGGAUAGCCCGGCGAAAGCCGGAUUAAUACCGCAUACGACCUGAGGGUGAAAGCGGGGGACCGAAAGGCCUCGCGCUAUUGGAGCGGCCGAUGUCGGAUUAGCUAGUUGGUGGGGUAAAGGCUUACCAAGGCGACGAUCCGUAGCUGGUCUGAGAGGACGACCAGCCACACUGGGACUGAGACACGGCCCAGACUCCUACGGGAGGCAGCAGUGGGGAAUUUUGGACAAUGGGGGCAACCCUGAUCCAGCCAUGCCGCGUGCGGGAAGAAGGCCUUCGGGUUGUAAACCGCUUUUGUUCGGGAAGAAAUCCUCUGGGCUAAUACCCCGGGGGGAUGACGGUACCGGAAGAAUAAACACCGGCGAACUACGU
rnacentral:rRNA from 1 species